AUUGAACGCUGGCGGCAGGCCUAACACAUGCAAGUCGAACGGUAACAGGAAGCAGCUUGCUGCUUUGCUGACGAGUGGCGGACGGGUGAGUAAUGUCUGGGAAACUGCCCGAUGGAGGGGGAUAACUACUGGAAACGGUAGCUAAUACCGCAUAACGUCGCAAGACCAAAGAGGGGGACCUUAGGGCCUCUUGCCAUCGGAUGUGCCCAGAUGGGAUUAGCUAGUAGGUGGGGUAACGGCUCACCUGGGCGACGAUCCCUAGCUGGUCUGAGAGGAUGACCAGCCACACUGGAACUGAGACACGGUCCAGACUCCUACGGGAGGCAGCAGUGGGGAAUAUUGCACAAUGGGCGCAAGCCUGAUGCAGCCAUGCCGCGUGUAUGAAGAAGGCCUUCGGGUUGUAAAGUACUUUCAGCGGGGAGGAAGGGAGUAAAGUUAAUACCUUUGCUCAUUGACGUUACCCGCAGAAGAAGCACCGGCUAACUCCGUG
rnacentral:rRNA from 1 species